GGGCAGGCUUAUCACUUGCCCGUCGAGCGGGCAUAGCUAUAUGUCAGCGACAGACGGGUGAGUAACGCGUGGGAACGUACCUUUUGGUUCGGAACAACUGAGGGAAACUUCAGCUAAUACCGGAUAAGCCCUUACGGGGAAAGAUUUAUCGCCGAAAGAUCGGCCCGCGUCUGAUUAGCUAGUUGGUGAGGUAAUGGCUCACCAAGGCGACGAUCAGUAGCUGGUCUGAGAGGAUGAUCAGCCACAUUGGGACUGAGACACGGCCCAAACUCCUACGGGAGGCAGCAGUGGGGAAUAUUGGACAAUGGGCGCAAGCCUGAUCCAGCCAUGCCGCGUGAGUGAUGAAGGCCCUAGGGUUGUAAAGCUCUUUUGUGCGGGAAGAUAAUGACGGUACCGCAAGAAUAAGCCCCGGCUAACUUCGUGCCAGCAGCCGCGGUAAUACGAAGGGGGCUAGCGUUGCUCGGAAUCACUGGGCGUAAAGGGUGCGUAGGCGGGUCUUUAAGUCAGGGGUGAAAUCCUGGAGCUCAACUCCAGAACUGCCUUUGAUACUGAAGAUCUUGAGUUCGGGAGAGGUGAGUGGAACUGCGAGUGUAGAGGUGAAAUUCGUAGAUAUUCGCAAGAACACCAGUGGCGAAGGCGGCUCACUGGCCCGAUACUGACGCUGAGGCACGAAAGCGUGGGGAGCAAACAGGAUUAGAUACCCUGGUAGUCCACGCCGUAAACGAUGAA
rnacentral:rRNA from 1 species